rnacentral:tRNA from 1 species
GGGGCUGUGACUCAAUGGCAGAGCAUCUGCUUUGCAGGUAGAAGAUCCCAGGCUUAAUCUCUGGCAUUUCCA